UGGGGAAUCUUGGACAAUGGGCGCAAGCCUGAUCCAGCCAUGCCGCGUGAGUGACGAAGGCCUUAGGGUUGUAAAGCUCUUUUUGGCGGGGAAGAUAAUGACGGUACCCGCAGAAUAAGCUCCGGCUAACUUCGUGCCAGCAGCCGCGGUAAUACGAAGGGAGCUAGCGUUGUUCGGAAUCACUGGGCGUAAAGCGCACGUAGGUGGGCAGUUAAGUCAGGGGUGAAAGCCCGAGGCUCAACCUCGGAAUUGCCUCUGAUACUGGCUGUCUAGAGUUCGAGAGAGGUGAGUGGAAUUCCUAGUGUAGAGGUGAAAUUCGUAGAUAUGCGGAGGAACACCGAUGGCGAAGGCAAUCCCCUGGACCUGUACUGACGCUCAUGCACGAAAGCGUGGGGAGCAAACAGGAUUAGAUACCCCAGUAGUCCCUGAGCGGGCUGGCAAGGCGCAU
rnacentral:rRNA from 1 species